UACGAGGGGUGCAAGCGUUGCUCGGAAUUAUUGGGCGUAAAGGGUUGGUAGGUGGUCUUGUUUGUCUAAGGUGAAAUCCCAUGGCUUAACUGUGGAAGUGCCUUAGAAACGGCAAGACUAGAGUCCUAGAGGGGUUUGUGGAAUUCCCGGUGUAGCGGUGAAAUGCGUAGAGAUCGGGAGGAACACCAGCGGCGAAGGCGGCAAACUGGAUAGGCACUGACACUCAACAACGAAAGCGUGGGGAGCAAACAGG
rnacentral:rRNA from 1 species